GGACUCCAUCAGGGUUGGACUUAUAAUUGAUUCUGUUGUUUAUUCCCUUGUCCACUGACUUCCUGUUGUUUCUACCGUCAGUGUCUGACGGUAGAAACUGAGCAGCUUCGUGUCUGAGUCUCCACAUGAAGUGUUUGUUGUUUGACUGAUGUGGAUUCAGCAGAAUGGAUCAGUGUGAGGACAGAAGAGCCCCUCCCUGCAAGACCACCGACAGGACCCCCACAGGACCUGGACCUGACAGGACCCCUACGGGACCUGGACCUGAUAGUCAACCCAAAGCUCUGAGACCUGAACCGGGACCUGGACCUGGACCUGGACUUGGACCUGGACCUGAGCAUGAAGCUGGACCUAAACCUGGGCCUGGACCUGGACCUGAACAUGAACAUGAACCUGGACCUAAACAUGAAGCUGGACCUGGACCUCCAUCCAGUUGUGUGUCCUACAGCAGUGACCAUUCCAAACAAGGUUAAAUUUAUUUUAAACAUGAUCGUCCAUCAGACUCAGUGUAAGUUUCUCCAUAAGAUGAAAAUUCAUUUGGUUCCAUUUGUUUGAAUAAUUUCAGUUUAGUGAGAAAAAUUAAUGCACAUUAUUUAUUAUUUAAAUCAUGAAGUGACUCAUAAUGAACCAAAUCUUUAAAGAUGCUGUAUGUAGGAAUUCUGUUCCCAGUAAUUAUAAAAUGGUCCUGAGUGUCACCACACAUUAAGGAAUCCUGUUCAGUUCAAAUACUGAUAUCAUUGACAGUAGUAGUCCAGACAAAAUAAUCAUGUUUGAAAAGCUAAGUG